CAUGAAUGGACUGAGAAAAGAAAGAGUAACAGAUGUUUUAUCAUGUGGAGAAACCAAAUUAUAAGAUCACUUUCCUUCUGUUUUUCUGUACUUCCAUCUUGCUUCCUUUCUUCUUUUCUUUCUUCUUCUUACUUUAUUUCCUUCCUUCCUUUCUUCAUUCUUUCUGUUUCCUUGUUUAUAUAUUUUCUUGUUUUUCCCAUUGCUUCCAUAUUUCUCUGUCCAUUCUUUUUUUCUAUGCUUUUACAUUACUUCCAUCUGUUCUUCCUUUUUUCCUUCCUUUGUAUUACCUUUGUCCCAUUGUUCUUUUCUUUGACAUUUCUUUCUUUCUUUCCUUCUGUCUUUCUCUUUCAUACUUUCCAUUUUUUACAUAUUUUUACCUUCCUUCUGUUCUUGUUUUCCUUCCUUCCUUUUAUCCUUCCUUCGUAUUACCUUUGUCCCAUUGUUCUUUUUCUUUUGCAUUUCUUUCUUUCCUUUCUUACACAUUUUUUUUUCUUUCCUUCCUUCUGUCUUUCAUCCUUCUUUACGUCCUUCUUUCCUUCUGCAUUUCUUUCCUUCCUUAUGUCUGCAUUUCUUUCUUUGCUUUCUUCCGUAUUUCUCUUGCUUUCUUUCCAUCUUUCCUUUCUUCCUUCCAUAUUUAUUUUUCUUCCUUCCUUCCUUCCUUCCUUCCUUUCUUUCUUUCUUUCUUUCUUUCUUUCUUAGCUUGCAUCAUGUCCUUGAUGCCAUUUCCCAUAUUUCUCCUCAACAUUCUUAGCUCUUCCUACUAUCCUGUAAAUUCAGUCCAUGAAAAGUUUCAUUUUCAUUUAGUUUAACUUGAAGAAAGCUUAUUUAACUUGUAAAUACAGUUAGCAAGUUCACACAGCAAAACACUGCCUGAGAAUAUAUUAGAAAUGUGAGAUCCUGAGAUUUCAAACUGCAACAUCAGUCAAGAUUAAAGGAAAGUCCAUUCCAGUCCGGGAUAACGCAACAAGAAUCUUGUUUCAACCUUGAAUUAGUCACGCUCUGGGCAAAUCUCAGGACAAGCUCGGUGUGCAAUUCAAGCAAAGAAGUCUACAAUGUUUCAGCUGUCUCAUGAAUACGUGCUUUAGUCAUUUAAUUACAUUAAGAAGCAAUUCAAACAACUUCUCGCUAAAAAUCAGAUACACCUUG
rnacentral:lncRNA from 1 species